rnacentral:lncRNA from 1 species
CUCUGGCCUGGGACAAGAAGCUGUUCAAGGGACUGUCAGCUCCAACCGGGUAACCGGUCACCAGACAGCCAGUAGCCUACCACAGUGACAGAAAGAGUGAGAAGGAGAAGGGAGAGCCCCAGAGCAUUAGUCCCUCCCAAGAGCCCUAAAACCAGCAAACAGAUAUCCCGGGCUCUGUUCCCAGUCCCAAGGUAAGCAAAGAGGGCCUGCGUCACAUCCCAUGGGUCACAAAACUGAGUCCAGUCUCCUCAAGAUUUGCCACUUCCUCCUUUUUCCUAUGGUUUUCACGGUGCUAAUUAUUGGACUGUGUCUCUCCACGGGACUCCUCGGCAUCAGGAUUCCAGCAUUUGGCGCUGUGUGGUUUCAGCUCCUGUCGUGGCAUUACUCUCCUACCCACUGAUGGCUCCUAGCAAGGCUCCGGAGUGGAGGAAAAUGAACUUUGGAUUUAAGGCACUUGUCCCCAUUCACCAGCCUGAAGUCCCCUGCCUCAUCGGUAAAGGAGAGCGGCUCCUGGGAGGAUUAUGAAAACCCACUUGCAAAGCUCCCAGCCAGGGCCUGGCCUGCAGUAGGGGCCCCACAAAGAUCAGCCGUUAUUCUAGGGUGACAGAUCUCUACCGCACCCGGAAUGGCACCAGGUACGCAACAGGUCACAGGCAGUGCACAGGGCUACGUGGGCUGAAUCUAUCUCUGGAGAGUGUUGUGGAGGCUUGUGGUUGGUUCCAUUUCUCUGUGGGUUGUCUCAGGGCUGCAGGAGCCCAAAGCAGGCCCCUGGGUCCUGAAGGACCUGACUGGAGAGGGGAGAGUAGGUCAGAUUCACCCGUGAGCAGAGAACUUAAAGCUGGGCCCUCUUCAGAUGCCAGCAAAGGAAUGGACAAAACUUUUCAGAAACUUUCAACCUUUUCCCUGCAGACCUUGCUACAGCAAGAGCAGCUGCUAGGGACUCUGAAGUCCCUUGGGGGCGGUGAGCCCUGCAGCCGUGAUGGAGGUGCUAGCAGGAAGACAGGCCUGGAGGUGUAACGCAGUGGUAGAGCGCUUCACUAGCAUGUGCAAGGGUCUGGCUUCAAUUUCCCCAUACCCUUUCCUGAAAGGGGGGAAAUGAGUGUCCCAACAAUACAAGAUGUGAUAAAAAAUAUAUGUAUAGUCUGUAUUUAAGGUAAAAAACAAUUCAUUACACAUUGCCAUUAAUCCCCUCAAAGAUACUCCCUUUCUCUUUGAACACUCACCCUGUACUUUUUGCCACUCUGAAGCAGCUCUGGAGUCCUCUGUUGUGUCUUUAGUUGCCAGUCAUGGCUGCCUCGAUGUCCACAAUCGAUUAAAAACAUGUAUACGCGCCGGGGAUUUAGCUCAGUGGUGCUGUCACCUGCCUCACAAGCGCAAGGCCCUGAGUUCGGUCCCUGGUACCAAAACAACAACAAAACUAACAAUCAAAAAAACAUUUACCUUUCAUGGUUAUUUUGACAAAUGACAAGAGCCAGAAGUAGCUUGGUGCCAGAUCCAGUGAAUAAGGUAGAUGAGGACACAGGAUAAUGUUCUUACAAGCUUUUCUGCUGCCUUUCUGCUGGAUGCUGCUCAGCAGCAACAUUCACCAUUUUUUUUUUGGUAUCAGGAAUCGAACUCAGGACCUUGCACUUGCGAGGUGGGUGACAGAACCACUGAGCUAAAUCCCCAGCUCCCUUCUGUAUUUUUGAUGAUGCCUCCUAAAGACAUGAAAGAGGACUUCUAGAACUGCUUCAGAAAGUGGCAAGAACACUGGGAUAAGUGGGUUUUGAAAUAAGGGGAAUAUUUUGAAGGGGAUUCAGGGCAAUGUGUCUUUUACUGUAACACAUUUUAAAAAUUGAAACACUGCAUUUUCUGACUGCCCCUUGUAUGUUGUCCUUGAUGAUACUUCUGGCUUCCCUUGGCUUCAGGAUCAGGUUCUGCCUUUCUAGACCAGAUAUGCUCCCUGUCAUCCCGUGGCCAACCUACUCUGCAGAUGAGGAACGGAGGCUUGGCAUGGUUAUGUAACUUGCUCAAGGUCACACAGCUGGAAGAUAGCAGAGGUUCUGCCAGGUGGAAACCAAGCCCGCCUGCGCCAGGAGCCAAAGCAAGGACUCAACUGAUACAGACAAACAGGAAGUUUCAGGCCUGGGCCAUUUCCUUUCGCUGUGAAUCAGCAGCUGCUUCCUCCUCAAGAAGUGAUGACAGUCACACGGUACCUGCACAUGGAGAGGACAGUCCUAGCCACCCAACAUAUGUGUGACUCGUGGGCUGGGAGGAAGGUCCACCACGAGACUGGGGGAGCCUUCGCCCCUAGUUCUUGGUGAGGCUUAUGUCACAGAGGAGCACUGCUGAGUAACAAGCCUGGGUACGGUAGGAGGUGUCCAGGCUCAGAGCCCCUCAGAGCCCAGUGGCAGGCCAUUGUCCCUUCUCAGCCCGGGCUCUCCUCAGGGAAAUGACUGAUAACGGCUACCUUGCAGAUUGUGACACACAAAAGGGAGGAAUAUAAGGGCGCACAUAUAAGCACACAGACUUUGGAGUCAGGUGUGUGAGUUCAAAUCCCAGCUCAACCAUGUCCUGGGCAGGUGACCCAAGUGUUCCAAGUCUUCAUUUCUCCAUCAGUAAAAAUGGAGAUAAAAGAAUAUCUGCCUGAUGGUCCCCUGGGAAGUUGAGUCAUCUCAUCACUUCACAUCAUGCACACGUGGCCAGGAAACCUUCAGGAAUGUGAACCUGCCCUCCCACCACCUCCUCCCUGUCCCUCCAGUGCUGGAUCCAUGACCCAGGGACCUCUGUCAAUUUCCUCCACCAGUGUGUGCCCAGCACCCGCUUGGACCACUGAAUAAACUGAACGGAUGUCCCUCAUUCAUAGCAGGUGCUAAGGAAAUGUAUCACAUGAAUGUUGUUCAGAGGAAAGCCACAGGCCAAAUCACACCCUCUCUGUUUCUGAAACUCCUUCCGGGGGACCAACAUGGAAUCAUGAUCACAGAUUCGGAAGCAGUUAGACCUGGCUUGUGUUCUAGCUCUGCUCACUCACUAGCACUGUGUCCUUCACUUUCGGGCCUCCCUUCCCUCCUCUGUGAAAUGGACAUCAGAGUAGCAACUCACCUACACUGGUUAUUUCAGGGUUCAAUGAGAUAAUGUAAGCCAAGCACUUAACACAGUACUCUGCAGGUAAAAACCCUGUGGUGGAAUGUGUCCGUUAAAUCCCAGCCUCAAGACCCCAGAAGAUGUUUCAAAAAGACUUUGCUUUUCUUUCAGAGAGACAAGGGGGCUGGCACUGAUGCCCCUCCUGCCUCAUUUCUCUUGCUCUCUGCUUCUCAGCCGAAUCCCUCUCCAUUCUUAGGUCUAGUGGUCUCUUCUUGUUGAAGAGCCAGUGUCCCCAUCCCUGUGGACUCCUGUAGAGGACACAGCCCCUCUCCACAUCACUUUGCCAUGCCAGGAGUGAGGGGGUGCAGAGGGUCCCCCAGCUACUGAAUCCCCUUUGUGUCACCUGAGGUGGAGUCUUGCUCACUGGUCUGUCCUUCAAGGUGAGUCCAGGAUGCCAGGGAGGCACCAGCCUGGCUUGGAAUUCAAGCCUCUGCCACAUCCAAGGCUGCAUAAUCUCAGGCAAGCCCACUGCUCUUUCUCUACCUCCGAUUCCUAAGCAGUGAAAUGGUAACCAUUGUUAGCACCCACAGCUGACCUGGAAACACUAGCCAGCUAUGCCACUGACCUAUUCAGUGGAUGCCAGCCAGUGCCCCAGCGUCCGGCAGAGGCGUCAUGGCGCCUGGCCCGUUGUACAUAUCGCAAAACAAUGGCUACUGCCAUUUCUGUUUCAACGCACACCCUGUUCCUUGCAAUUCCUAGCCCAGCCCUGAUACAGGGACGUUCAGAGGUGAGAGCUUUAAACAGACCUGGCUUUUGUUCUCCCCCAAGUGAAUGAAGGCUCACCUCCCUUUCUUGCUUCCCUUUGCUCACUAG